rnacentral:tRNA from 1 species
GAGGGUGGAGCUCAGUGGUAGAGCACAUGCUGAGCACGAGAUCCCGGGUUCAAACCCCAGUGCCUCCA